UUUUUUUUUUAUGUGAUACUGAUUUUUUUCUAAGCACCAGUUGCACCUGGGAUUCACUUGGUGAAAAACUACCUAGUAUUUGGCUCUCCUACAAAUGGAACUAAAUAAUGGUUUCUAUUGUCCACAUAAAAGAAGCCUAGAGUUUUCCUGGUCAAUCCUAAUACUCCUCCUUUAAAACAAGGCGGGGGGGGGAAAGGGUAAAUAAUAUAGCUUUCCAAAAGGUGCAAAAAUCAUUUGCUCUUCCUUUUGAUAUUAAGUUGCUAAAUAAAGACAGAAUCCACUCUUAUAAGGGUAUUGUGAGUUCUUAAAGACUUCCAGGGUGGAGUGGAAGGGGGGUUGUUUUUUAAACAAGCAUGCUGACAUUUAAUAAUAUUCUCCAAGUUGGCCGAUUCACACAUGUUUCAUAACAUCACAAAAGACCUGUAACCAUAACAGCAUGGAAAUCCUGAAAAUAUUUGUACCCAAAACAAACUUACGCAGACACCAUGCAGACUACUUGAUUAGUAAGCUAAUUUAAAAAAAAAAAAAGAAAAAAAAAAGUAAAAUCUAAAGCUUACAGAAAUAAAGCCAUGGGAAUUUGCUAUCAUAUUGCUGUUUUCCAGGAUUUUCUGUUGACUGGAGUCUUACCUAAAGGGAACUUUCACUAAUACAUAUUAAAGUAGUAGUUUAGAGUCUGACAAAAAGUGACUAGCAAAUCAAAGCUAGGUAGUAAUAUAAUAAAAGUAGCAUUGGCACUAAGCGACAUAUCCUCAAGGAAACACACAUGAAUUCCUAGACAAAUAUACAGCUUUCAGCUAUAAGCAGCACAUUGUCCAAGGCUUUACAGAACAGUUAGACUACUGAUUUCUACUCAGAAGAUUACAAAUCCACAGACAGUUUAACCUGUUCAGAAAUUCCCUGCACAUUUGUUGAAGUCUGAGCAUAAACCUAGUCUUUUCAGCCCCUUUAACCAUAUUAUUUGAAUACACAAUAUAUUUGGGGAGGGAGGGGGGAAAAUGACUGAAUAUGCAAUGCAAAAAGGGUAAAAGUAAGCUACGCAGCAGCUUAGAGUAGUUUGGCAGUCAGAAAUUUCCACAGUCUUUUAAGAAAAGUAGCUAAUUCUUUUUGUUACAGAAGCACUGCAAUACAAGGCACAGAAAGUAAGGGUUCUGUUCUUAGUACACAACAUAUCAGGUAAAGUGCUGCCUCUAGUUGAGAUAUCAAGGUUUAAAAGAAGCAGGUAAGUAGAAGAAAACUUUGGAAAGAGAAACUAGGAUUCAGAAGGUUUACAAAACAACCCGUGAGUACAUGCUGAGCAAACUGGAUCUAUUUUCUCCUUUAGCUGUGGUUUCUACUGACCACACAGUGUGUUUGAAUAAGGCAGCUGUUACAUAGAGUCACAGAAUGGUUAGGGUUGGAAAGCAUCUUAAGAUCAUCUAGUUCCAACCCCCCUGCCAUGGGCAGGGACACCUUCCACUAGACCAUGUCACCCAAAGCCCUGUCCAACUCUUGUCCAUUUUACCCCUGACAGCAGGAUAAGUAGUCAUUCAUUCAAUUAUCAUAAGAGGUUAAGUUUAUACGUCAGGAAGAACCUUCAAAUGAUAAACUGAAUGCUAGUGAGGCUCUCAAAAUGGGCUAGACAACAAGCAACUUGUUCAAGUUUUAAGUAUGACCUACCUAGAAGUAAAGCUAUGGAGGAAAACCAACCUGCUUUAAAAAACACCAAGUUCCACAUACCUGCUGUGUCCCCUGGGCCAUGGCAGAUACAAGCUGCUUCAUUUACAGGGCCAGGGCCUCUGUGCCACCACAUGGCACAAGUACACCCCUGGCACAGGUGACCUUUGGAGGUUCUCUCCAGAGUUUCUACAACUUCCGCCUUUACAGCAAUAAUGGCAUAAUCCUUACCAGGAUGAGACAUUCGGUGAUCCAGUAACUCUAAUCCAUUUGCCCCUAACAGUGCUAACGAGCACUACAAAUUAAAGGCAGACACGCAUGUCAAAAAAACCACCAAAAUACCACUGGUAGCUAAAUUCAGCUGCAGCACGUCAGAGCUCAUCUAUUAGUCAGGAAUCACAUAUACAGUAUGAAAUAAACACACAGAAAUACUGUACUUGGCUUAUCUAGAAAAAGUCAAAACUAUUCACAUUUAAUAACUGUCCAAUGAAAUAAAACAUACAGAAAGUGGUACAGACAAAAUUAUAGCGAGUGCAGUUAUAGGCAUUUCCACAAUAAUGUUCUUUAUUGAAACAGAUAACUUGAAGAUAAGCCAAGAGCAAUGAACCACAAACAUAUUCUAGAAUUUCACCACACUUAAAACUAUAUCUGAUAUAUACAUCAACACUUACGAAAAGCUGACUUUUUUGAAUUAAUUUUGAAUUUCUGGUACAAUAUUACUAACAAAUACCCACAUCAGAUGUUGUUGGUCGAUCAUUAUUUUUUGUAAACCACAAAUUGUGGUCAAUUUCCAUGAAGGCUGACAAUGGCACUAACCAUGUCACCAACAAAAGAGCUGGAUUUCAGAGGUCAGGUCGUUGGCCCCUAAGACUACAAAGAAACAUCCUUUUAAGCUAACUACGAGAUUUCAGCUGUCUAGUGCUUACACUGCUGCUCAAAGCCAGUAACGCUGUGGGCUGCUACCAAAAGCCACAGACGAGUAUCACCAAGAAACAUGACAGACUUGCCGGGAAUCUCCAGCUAAGGAAACCUGGCAAGGGCCGCUGCCAGUGUCAAGGGGGAGAAAGUCUGAAGCGUUUCAAAGAGCCAGCCACAGGCCAUGAGCGGGCAGGGGGGAAGGUGGCCGUUUUGACUACCACUACACAUGUCCACGUAGCCGGGAAGUGACGAGGGUCAAAAGAGACUUAUCAGAACAGCCGGCCAAGCCACUUUUCUUCCGCCUCGAAGCCGGUCCCCUCCCAUCCUACGUGGCCGGCUGGCUCUCCUGCCCGGGGCUCUCCCCACUCCCACAGUCCCCCACCGCCGCUGUCCUGUCCCGUCCCCUCGGGCAGUGCCAACCAUGAUACUGACACACGCCCCCCAGCCCGGCUCCCUCUCCGGACACAUCAGCAGGUCGCGGCCCGCCCCUCACCAGUCGCUAGAUGAAUGGACUCGGGCGGGCAGGGCGGGACGCGCGCUGAGCAGCGCGGGGGCUCAUCCUCAGUGACACCGGCACGAAAGCAGGGCCAGGCUGCUGCGGCUACCGCGACACCUCAGGCGGCGGCGGCGGCGGCGGCGACAACCAGUGCCAGCACCUCACAGCGGGGUGCAGGGAC
ensembl:lncRNA